GCCGCAGUAGCUUAGCUGGUUAGAGCGUACGGCUGUUAACCGUAAGGUCGUCGGUUCGAAUCCGCCCUGCGGCGCCA
rnacentral:tRNA from 3 species